rnacentral:lncRNA from 12 species
GCUUCAUUUUGCAUAUUUUCAUCUAGAACCCACCAUGAGUCUUUUGGCUUUUUAGUUGUAACUCAGCUGUUCUGUUGAGACUGGAUGUGAUAAGUAGAGGCAUCAGAAUACUGGUGAUUGGCCUGUGCUGCAUUGGCAGCAAACACAGAUAUCUAUAUUUAAAAUGGUGCACAUUGUUCCAAAUGUCACGGAGCAAGUUUGGAUGCCACUGAAUGGGUUCAUCAGCUGCAAAAUGAAAUACAUGUUUCAUAUGUGAAGAUUUGUGUUUGGCCUGGUGCAGGUAAGAGCCCUUCCCUGCUGCUCUCUCUCCCCGACACCUGCACCGAAUGGCCCACACCUUUGGUUGAGUGCAGCACUCCUUAGAUUGGAACACAACUUCCUGUAGCAAAGUCCUGACUGCCUUGCUUGAUGGAGGAUGUCUCACCUCCCACAAUGAGCUGCUGAAGCAAGGUCACACCGUGUGCACCCCCGAGAACCGCGAGGCCUGACCACUGCUUACUAUUCCUGCUGCCUCGUAACACAAACAAGAAAAAGCCUGCUGAGUUCGGGACCACUCAGGACGGAUCUGGACCUUCCUCCCCCUGGUGGCCAACAGGCCAUACUUCAGGAUCCUUCCUUCAGCGACUUGGUUUGCAAAACUGGUUGGCUGAGAGAUUGCAAAGUAUUUUAAUAAGCUUUGAUGCAAAGGGUCAGUCAUGCUCUGAGAGUCUGACAAGGAUGUCAUGCUUGUAAAUAGUUAUGCUCGGACUACAGGAUUUGGAUUAUAGGACUACUGUGAUAAAACCUUGCUCUUUCCUGUUAGAUACACUUGGCAAAAGUCUGACCCCAUCUCAGAACUAAAUGAGUCAAUGUGGGCCAGUUACUUACCUUUUCUGAGUCUUGAUUUUUCUUGCCUGUAAAAUAGGGUUAAUAAUUCCAUAUAAGUCAUAGAGUUCUGUGUGCAAUAAAUGAGACGAUGUAUUCUAAGGGCUUAGAUCC